AGAGAGAGAGAGAGAGAGAGAGAGAGAGAGAGAGAGAGAGAGAGAGAGAGAGAGAGAGAGAGAGAGAGAGAGAGAGAGAGAGAGAGAGAAAGAGAGAGAGAGAAUGAGCGAACGAACGGGUGCAAUAGAGACAGAGAUGGCUCCAGUGUGGACAGGUGAACGGACGGCCACGUCAGACGUCCAGAAUAUCGCAGAUGCGGUGAAAUCCAGUGUGGAACAUCAGAUCGGCCAUAAACUGACGACGUACAUCGCGAAAACCUGCCGUGACCAGGACCAGCCUUGUAUGCUGGGGAAAACUUUACCUGAUCAAGAUCGAUAGCGGAGAUUCCAACAACGUCCUCCACAUUGAGGUGUUCGUUCCACGUCAGCACUCUAUCUCUGAUUCAGUUCUGCUGGCGGUCGUGGAAAACUUCAGGAUGAGCGAUCCGCUGGAACCCUUGGUCUGAGAAACGAGAGUUUCCUGACCGAUGCCAACCCCUCGCUGUGCUUGCGGCCCACCCCUCGGGAAUAUUCCCCUCCCUCCCUACAAAGCUCGUCACACGGGGUAGUUGGGACACCCUUCAGCUACCCACUGUUUAAUGCUGGGUUUGGUUCUUCCUGUCCACAGAUCCCAGACACACUCCCACCUCCCCCAGACCCUACACACCCACCUCCCCCCCGCCAACUCACCGACACGUCCCGCGCUCCCGGAAUACCAGCAGACCCACCUCUCCAGCUCGCUGAGGCCACCUGAACCGUCAGCUGUUCGACGCACAAGCUUUUCGCUAAUAAAACGCGUUGAUCCGAUUGGUCGUCUGGUCGUCUAUAACCAUCCCCUCUUUCGGAUGCUGGGGGCGGGGGCAAC